rnacentral:rRNA from 1 species
UACGUAGGGACCAAGCGUUGUCCGGAAUCAUUGGGCGUAAAGCGCGCGUAGGUGGCCAUUUAAGUCCGCUGUGAAAGUCAGAGGCUCAACCUUUGAAAGCCGGUGGAUACUGGAUGGCUAGAGUACGGAAGAGGCGAGUGGAAUUCCUGGUGUAGCGGUGGAAUGCGCAGAUAUCAGGAGGAACACCGAUGGCGAAGGCAGGUCUCUGGGCAUUAACUGACGCUGAGGAGCGAAAGCAUGGGGAGCGAACAGG